CAAUAGCGUAUAUUUAAGUUGUUGCAGUUAAAAAGCUCGUAGUUGAAUUUUUGCUUGCCGCCGAUGUCGGAACUUCCGUACGUUCGGCGGCGUGCAUCCUUGGGUGGAACCUGUGUGGCAUUAGGUUGUCGUGCAGGGGAUGCUCAUCGUUUACUGUGAAAAAAUUAGAGUGUUCAAAGCAGGCUUACGCCGUUGAAUAUAUUAGCAUGGAAUAAUAAGAUAGGACCUUGGUACUAUUUUGUUGGUUUGCGCACCGAGGUAAUGAUUAACAGGGACAGUUGGGGGUAUUCGUAUUCCAUUGUCAGAGGUGAAAUUCUUGGAUUUCUGGAAGACGAACUACUGCGAAAGCAUUUACCAAGGAUGUUUUCAUUAA
rnacentral:rRNA from 1 species